rnacentral:rRNA from 1 species
CCUACGGGGUGCAGCAGUGAGGAAUAUUGGUCAAUGGACGAGAGUCUGAACCAGCCAAGUAGCGUGAAGGAUGACUGCCCUAUGGGUUGUAAACUUCUUUUAUAUGGGAAUAAAAUGUUCCACGUGUGGGGUUUUGUAUGUACCAUAUGAAUAAGGAUCGGCUAACUCCGUGCCAGCAGCCGCGGUAAUACGGAGGAUCCGAGCGUUAUCCGGAUUUACUGGGUUUAAAGGGAGCGUAGGUGGAUUGGUAAGUCAGUUGUGAAAGUUUGCGGCUCAACCGUAAAAUUGCAGAUGAAACUGGCAGUCUUGAGUACAGUAGAGGUGGGCGGAAUUCGUGGUGUAGCGGUGAAAUGCUUAGAUAUCACGAAGAACUCCGAUGGCGAAGGCAGCUCACUGGACUGCAACUGACACUGAGGCUCGAAAGUGUGGGUAUCAAACAGGAUUAGAUACCCUGGUAGUC